rnacentral:rRNA from 1 species
GGGCGUAGAGGGCUCGCAGGCGGUUUCUUAAGUCUGAUGUGAAAGCCCCCGGCUCAACCGGGGAGGGUCAUUGGAAACUGGGAAACUUGAGUGCAGAAGAGGAGAGUGGAAUUCCACGUGUAGCGGUGAAAUGCGUAGAGAUGUGGAGGAACACCAGUGGCGAAGGCGACUCUCUGGUCUGUAACUGACGCUGAGGAGCGAAAGCGUGGGGAGCGAACAGGAUUAGAUACCCUGGUAGUCCACGCCGUAAACGAUGAGUGCUAAGUGUUAGGGGGUUUCCGCCCCUUAGUGCUGCAGCUAACGCAUUAAGCACUCCGCCUGGGGAGUACGGUCGCAAGACUGAAACUCAAAGGAAUUGACGGGGGCCCGCACAAGCGGUGGAGCAUGUGGUUUAAUUCGAAGCAACGCGAAGAACCUUACCAGGUCUUGACAUCCUCUGACAACCCUAGAGAUAGGGCUUUCCCUUCGGGGACAGAGUGACAGGUGGUGCAUGGUUGUCGUCAGCUCGUGUCGUGAGAUGUUGGGUUAAGUCCCGCAACGAGCGCAACCCUUGAUCUUAGUUGCCAGCAUUCAGUUGGGCACUCUAAGGUGACUGCCGGUGACAAACCGGAGGAAGGUGGGGAUGACGUCAAAUCAUCAUGCCCCUUAUGACCUGGGCUACACACGUGCUACAAUGGACAGA